GGCCGCGAUGGGGUAGCUUGGUCAUCCUGUGGGACUGUGGAUCCCUAGACUCGCGUUCAAAUCGCGAUCGCGGCCCCC
rnacentral:tRNA from 1 species